AGUAGCCCGCGCCGCCGCGGGGCUCUCGGGCCGGCGCGUCCGUGGCUUUUCCCUCUUGGCCACCCUGGGCAGGGUUCUUUUCUCCUGCGAGCGCGUUAACAGACAAUUAAUCGUCUGUGAUCAGUGAUCACCACAGAACCUCCCUGCCUACCACUCUCAGUUCCCCUGAGUGGCUGUUAAGGUUCUGGUAGGAAUUUGCUGGAUGUGACUGCGGGAAUUUUGCUUCCUGUCCUGCUCCCGGAGGCCACCUCCGAACCACUUGUGCUAGCCCCGGAGCGUCUGUGCUCCAAGCGUCAAAGAAAGCUGCAGCUGUCAUCUCCACGGUUACCUUAACCUCUGACCUCUGAAAUGUGAUUCUGGCAGGAAGAAGAAAAAAGGAGGAAAAGUGAGCACCUAGACAGCCCAGGUAUCUUGUCAGCGGGUACAAGCAGGACUAAGAGAAGAGUCUGAAAGGAGGAAGAAGUCAUCAUGUUGCAAGGUUUUGUGGACUUUUUAACCACACAAGUUGUGUGGUUGGAAUUCAGGCUCUGUCAUCAGUGCACAUAUGAACAAGCGUACAAAGUGUAACACCGUAGGGUUGAAAUUUGAUAGUGGCCAUUUUAAUAAUUGACUGCAUAAUCAAACCAAACUUAACUAAUAAAGAAGUAGUAAAGAACAAAAGCAAAUGUCAUUCGAAUGAAUAGUGAUUAUAUAAAAGGAAUCACAGUUGAACAUUUUUUAGGGAAGAAAGAUAAAAGAAGUAGCCAGUGAUUUAGAGAGAAUGUUUAAAAGCCUAAAUUUUAAAUUGAGUACCUGUAGUUAAAACUACUUGAAGAGUUAGUGUCUGAUAAGUGAAACUCCCACCUAGAUUAUAAAGUCCCUGGAGAGAAAAGUCAGUUAAUUAAUCAAAAUUUCAUCUUACAAAGACCACACUGGCAGACAUAAGUUAAUUAAAAACAGAUCUCCACACGAAGAUUUUUUUUAAUCUUCCAAACCAUUUA